rnacentral:lncRNA from 1 species
UUUCUUAGUGUAAUUAAACACUUAAAAAUUUAGAAAGUUUAGGUUUGACUUGACAUUUCAAACUGUUUAGAAAGUGGCUGAUGACUAAAUAUUGAAUAAUGGUAGUAUACAUAAUUUUCCAUGACAUGAAUAAAAACAUCUAGGUGAAAUUUUGCAAAUCAUUUGCACUUUAAGGUAAUGAUUACAUAUUUUUGGUCUGUUGAGUUAUUUAACCAACCAGAAUUAGUACUUAACUUGCAAUUUGAUGGACUGAGGUGAGGAAAAAAAUAUUUGAGGUUGGAAUUUGUUUAUAUGAAUGGCUUUAUAAGUUGUGGAAUCAGCUUAAAUGCCUAAAGUGGAUUCUGACAUUGACACUUUUCUCCCUUCUGAUUCAAUUCACAGAGCCAAUGACACUUAAGUGGCCAAGUAGUUUACAAGCAGUCAUUAAGGAAUCAUCACUAAUAUGGUAUUAUCCUUCCCAUGUGCAAUCACACGAGCAAGUAUAGGAGGACCAUGAGGCUGCUUCAUUCACCAAGACUCCAAUUGCAUGUAUUUCAUUUGUGUAUCGAAAUCCUCCAUCACCUCUAACUGUUAAUAAGGUAAGAGGUUCUCUUUUUGUACUUUGCCAAUUACACACGGAACAAUCAGCAAUUGGGCAAUUUGAUCAUGUUUAUUAUAAACAGAUCACCCUUUCCCUCAUUUUGUAAUAUUACUUGGAUUUCUCCAUGAUAGUCUGGGUCUAUAACUCUUCUACAAACACAAAUUAAAGUGAAGGAAGUCUUGUUCAGGCUUCAGAAGCAGGAGAGCAGGCCUCUAACCUGCUUCUGACCUGCCUGGACACCGCUUGGACUCUAUACCUGCCUGCAAGCACAGCAAGUCAGGUGGCACUUUAGCUAAGAAAGAGAGUGUGUCUUGGAAUUCUUGAGCCCCUGAGAGUCUGGCCAAGCCCCUGGAGUCUAAAGAAAUCCUAUGACUUACCAAAUGAAACAAUCGGCAUUGUAAUAGUUAAAACAAAAACAAAAUAGAGCUGCAUUUUUGCAUGCAAACUGAUGAUAUCAGCUUGUGGCCUGAGAUUAUAAGUGGGUGCUCCCAAAACUACAGUUUG